rnacentral:lncRNA from 1 species
GUUCUCCCUUAUUUUCAAAUUAGCACAGCUUAGAGCCAGGAUGAUGGAAGAUUCAGUGCUGAGAGAAAGAAGACCCAUUUCCCAAGAGUAGUAUCUUCAAAUGCAGACAUUCACACAGUUGCUUUUUAUCAUUAUUUGGGUCAAAAGUGCAUGACAUAUGGAAAAACAACAGAGGACAUACUAUCUUCUUUUAGCCUUUUUCCAACUCUGCCCCUUUGCCCAAGGGUCUGGCUCUUUCAUUAAUUCCUGCAGGAAGACUUCUAUUUUUUUUGUUUGUUUUCUUUUUUUUCUUUUUGAGCUUAUAUUCUCCUGGGAUUUCAAAAAUAUAACCUCAGGAUAUCUCUUCUCCCUUACCUUCCAUACUUGUUACUAUGUUUAUGUUGGUGGGGUGACUUACUUGGUGCUGAAGUGUUGGGGUGACAAGGGCAGGGGAAGUCUCUGUGUCCCUAGCGGUGAAUCCAUCCAAGAGGCUUCAAGAUGGCUGUCACUCUUAUCCACAGAGCUUCAUUUAGGCUUGAUGACUCAGGCUCUCUGCUGGUUCCCUGCCAUACCUGAAGGCACAGAACUCAUUCCAUUGCUUGCUGUGGUUGGCUGGUAACUAGCAAUUUCUGUUAUCUAUCUGUGGGCUACUUGUCUGGCCUUACAUUACAGCCAUUCUCUCUCUGGGAGCUUCUGCCUCAUCAGGGCACCCUUCUCUCUCUGGCCCCACAAAUCAAUGUAGUGUUUUGCAUUUUUCCUACUGUGGACUAUGCCCCAAAACCAUUGUUCUAAUCACUACAAUCAUUACUAACCAUCUGGUUUUUUUAUCUCUUCCUCCAAUCAAUCCCUCAAAUUCCACCACCAUCCACAUUCUCCCGGGCUCCUGACAAUUAUGUUUAGCCCAACUCUAACCACAGGCUUCAGAGGCUGUUUCCUCCUGAUUUUCCAAAUGAGGCAAAAUUGGAACCUCAUUUUUGUGAGCUUCAAGCUCACAACCAGCAGCAACUCAGCGCAUGCUUCUGCACACAUGAUGUGGACGUGCUUUUAAUCUUUCUUGUACCUUUAUAAGCAGAUCCUCCCAGGCUUCUGCAGUGUAGGAGAACGGAUAUGGUUUUAUUAAAAAUAGUGUCUCAAUUUCAAUAGCUCUAAGUUCCCACCUGCUUGAUGGCAGUGCUGAAGGGAGCCCCUCAGAGCCUCCUCUGCUAUUCCAGGCAUUCCAGGGUGGCUUUGCAGGACAGCAAGGAGGAAAUCUGCUCCUGGACUUUGAUUUCAACCUCAUCUGCUGUCCACUGCCUGUACCACAGAAGGCACCUUGAUGAGAUAUUGCUCCAUGGCUUUCAGAUCCUCUGAGAGAAUAGGGGUCAUGGAUCUCUCCACUACAACUACAUCUCAUUUCUGACUUUUUUUAAGUUUUGCCUUUGAAACCUCAACACUCUUCUUUGGGUAAAUUAAGUAGUUCAAUGAGUAGGUCCCUCAUUAUUACUUUAAAUAAUCAAGAGUUCCAACCUGAUUUCUACAAUCAUUUUUAUUUUGUCUCUAGUUAAAUACUACUUGAAUGAAUGAGAGUGGUCUCUUUUUCCAUAACAAUGCAAUUUUAAAUGUUUCAAUACCUCAUUACCUUAGCUUUGAAGCUUCUCUUACAUUUUCUUUCUUAUAUGUCAGUUCAAGAAACGGGCUUUCAGAGACAAGUACACUGACCCUCUCAGCCAAUGAUCCACCAAGUGACUAUUCCACACGUAGGCAGCUGUACACAUAGCCACUUGCCGGGGGGAAAGAAAAUCAAUUCAUUCCAGAAGAUUAUUGAAGCUAUUUUAUUUUUUCCUUCGGAGCUCUUCCUUCAGUGUGUGAUUACACAUGCACUCCUUUGGGUGUUUUGUUUGAAAUCAAGGUUGUUUUAUCCACCUGACCAUAUGUGCUAUGAGCUCGGGGAGCACACCUGGUUGUUCUCAGCAUGUCACCCAGCUGGACCUGCAAAGAGUGCCACAUAUGCAGUAUCCAUUGCCUGAACAAGUGACUCCCUCUAAAAUUCACAACAAAGCUAAUAGCUGUUGUGCCUGAGGACAUACAGCAAGUGCAGCCACAAACAUCAGGUCAGACAUUAGAAAGCGGCGCUCAAACUUCAUGGCUUUCUAAGUCCCCAUGCCACCAACCCUUCUGGACAACAGCUGACUUCCAUUUCUAAAGAACCAUAAAAAGGUCAUUGGUUUGCAAAAUCAAAAUUUGUUCUGGGUGCUACUGUGCCCUCAUAAAUGAAAUUUUGUUAUUAAAGGAAUGAACCUAUUGGCAGUGUGCCUAGUCCCAGAGAACAAACAAUGUUUGGUGUCAGAGUGCUGCAGUCACUCUGCAGAAGCAGAAUGGACAUCACCCAGAAUUUGGUCCUGAUGUUGAGACUGCUGACACCAUACGCACACCUAGGGGGUAUGAAAUUGUUUAUUAUUCACAAGAGAAGGCUUUCCUUCUGCCUCUAAAUACACUCUUUUCUCACAAGGGUCGAAAUGGCUUUCAUUUUUGUACAAAGUCCACAUCCCAUACACUCCCCCUUCUGAAUGACUUUGAACUUAAAAUAUGUUUGUUUGUUUAACUUAAGCCACUUCAGUCCAUUUACUUCUUUACUUAUCUCUUCCCUGCACCAAUUACUCACCCUCCUUUUAGUAGCAGCCAUUAAUAUUCUCCAUUAAUGGUCUCUUUCCAAAACCUAGUCCCUCAGAAAUUUCCUUCACCAAGACUCUCCUUUGAAAAUAUCUACUCCCAAAGGUCUACACUCAUCUCUUUGAGCAGCAUCUUUCCUAAAUAUGUGUAAUAAUAAAUUUAGCCCUGGCUAAGAAACUUGAAGAAGUGAUCAAGGAUCAUUUUAAAGAAAAAUGAUAAACAAUGAACAAAAGGCAACCUGAGUCUGAAGAGUUUAAUAAAGGGCUCAGGCCGGGUUCAGUGGCUCAUGCCCAUAAUCCCAGCACUUUGGGAGGCCGAGGCGGGUGGAUCACCUGAGAUCAGGAGUUUGAGACCAGCCUGGCCAGCAUGGUGAAACCUCGUCUCUACUAAAAGUACAAAAAUUAGCAGGGCGUGGUGGUGCAUGCCUGUAAUCCCAGCUACUCAGGAGGCUGAGGCAGGAGAAUCACUUGAACUUUCUGUUUGUGACACAAACAGCCAUUAGAGAGAAAUGAUUAGCUAUUAUACUUCUCAGUGGUGGUUAGCAAUGGUCUAUAAUUAUUCAUUUCUAUUAGGAGCCAUUAGCCAUUAAUUCCAUGUAUUAGAAUUUUGAGAGCAGCUUGACCACAUUGAUUCCUGGGUCUACAUUUAAAAUAGAUGUGAGAGAGAGAGAGAGACAGAGAGAGAGAGAGAGAGAGAGAGAGAGAGAGAGAUUAAAUGAGUUCGUUAUUGUUAAGCACUUAACUGUCAUCAUCAUCAUCAUCCCACAGAUGUAGACACCGAUGUCCAGGUAGGCGAUGUGAUUUGUCCAAAUCAUAAAACUAGCAUUAAGCACGCAGAAGAACCCAAAUCUCUUGACAACUAGCCCUGAGUUCCUUCCACUGUGCCAUGCUGCCUGUAUUGUUCUAUACUACGCCAUACUUUCUGAUGCAUAAAGUCCUUAUCAGGUACAUAACUUAUGAAGGAAAGAACUCAGAAAGAAGAAGGCCUAAUGAUGCCAUUGAUAUAAUACCAGCAUUAGACAUUGGUAGCCAUACCUUGUGUCACCCCCCUAAACCCCAUCUUUAUUGAAUGAAGCAAGUGAAACAUCACCUUUCCCAGAAUUGUGGAUAGGGUCUACACAGGGAAAUAAUAAGUGAACAAAUGUGGGCUGAAAGCAUAAUGGCUAAUAAUAUUUCCCAGAAGAGAAGAAAGAGGUGAGCUGUGUCUUUACAGACAUUGCCAAUAGGUAAGAGAGGGCACAGAAACUCAAAGAAGCCUUAGAUUUACUGAAUGUAAGAGAAGGAAGAGGAGAUGUUAGCUUUUAUCUUUUUUUCAUAGCUUUUCCUGCAACCUAGACAUUGUUUAUAUCAUUAUCUUGGCUGUGUCACUAAUUAGCAAUUGAUUUCUGAAAAUUUAGCUCGUCAUCAAUAAAUGCUGUUCCUAAGUAGUCAAUUAGAAUGAACAUCUCCCAGGGAUUUAUGGGGUUAUUAAGUCUGGAAGGUAGUCUUGGUGAAGGCAUACAUUAAGACCUUGUAUCCCAGGAGGAUUAUCUGUGGUGACAGCAACAGGAGGUGAACCUGCUCAGCCCAGCUGUGGAGUUCAGCACCAGGCUGGUGAAUCCAUCUUCCCAAGACCUCAUGCUGUCACAGCCAGGAGACUUAUGCUCUAAUUAUGUGCCCCUUCUUUUGCAACCCCUACAGCUUAAUGGGUUUCACAUUCUCUUAAGGUCUAAUGUCCAUUUUUUUUUUUUCUUCUUUUCCUUUUAAAAAAAGAUCCUAUACUGACAACUCCAAAUGCUGGCAAGUUGAGGAGCAAUAGGAACUGUCAUUCAUUGACUGGUGGGAAUGUCAAUGGUACAACAAUUUGGAAGACAGUAUGGCAGGUUAUUACUAAAGUGAGCAUAUUGUCACUAUAAAUUCCAGUAAGUGUGCUCCUUGACUUUGACCCAAAUUAGUUAAAAUUUUAUUUCCAUAAAAAAUGUGGACAUAGAUAUUCAUAGCAGCUUGAUGGAAAGUUGUCAAAACUGGGAAGCAACUGAGAAGCCCUUUAGUAGGCGUAGGAGUUAUUACACUUUGGUACAUACAAACAGUAGAAUAAGAUUCAACACCAAUAAGAAAUGAGCUAUUGUGCCACGAAAAGACAAAGAGGAAUCUCAAAUGCAUAUGACUAAGUGAAAGAAGCCAGUCUGAAAAGAUGACUUACCAUAUGACAUUCCAACCAUAUGACAUUCUGAAAAGCAAAUAUGGAGAGAAAAAGUGUGUAAAGAGCAAUGUUCUUUGGAAAAACCAAUUAAUUUUCAACCAUGAAAAAAUGAAAACAGGUAAGUGCUAGAAGUAAAUGAUGGAUGAUUAUUUUCAUAAUCUUAGGCAGAAAAAGUCUUUCUAAGAAGUUCUAAAUUAAAACUUUGAUAUUUAAAAGAUUAAAUAUGUAAUCCUUCAACAUCAAAAACAUAAAGAUAACAAAAAUUAAAAGUAAAUGAAGAUCUGGGAAAAUAUACUUAGACCAUAUAUGAUAAUGAAGUUAGCACUAUCAUAUAUAAUGAUAUAAUAAAGUCAUAUAUCGUAAUGUCAUUGUUUCUAUAACAUAUAAAGAAAUGUUAUAAAUCAAGGAAAAGAUGAACGCCUUAAUAUAACGAUAAGUUAAGAACAUGAAGCAAUCUGAGAGACAAAUACAAAAUGGCAAACACAGGUUCAAGAAAAGUUUUACUUGGAGACAAAUUUAGCAUUCAUUACAAUGGAUUGUCAACUGAAACUCAUUGAUUCAAAUAUGUUAAAUAUUUUAGAUAUAUACAACGUAUCAAAUCUUUUAGUAUAUUAAUAUAUAACAGAAAUAUAUAUAUUAAAUGUGUAAGUUCAUAAUGAUAUUUUGAAAAAUGAAAACCACACUAAUCAUUUUUGGCUGUUGCUGGACUCAUUGCUCUGAAAUUGGAUAAAUAAAGGUACAGAAUACAGCAUUUACCUUGCCUCUCAUUUAUGAACUGUGCUUCAGGUUAACCAAAUAGAUGUGAGGGAAAGUUCUUCUCCACAGAAGAAUUCUAAUUAAAAAAGAAUGAUUAUUAGAAAAAUAAUUCGAAAAAUGUCAUUUUGCAACCCCUGCCGAGACAAUGGAUUUUGGCAAGAAUCAUAAAUGGUAGUUGAUGGGAAAAUUGAUAAUGGGUGAAUGAUGACAUCUAAACCCAUCAACUUCAGCAUCAUGAAAAGUGGGACAAGUAGACAUUGGGUGCCUGUUGAUUUAAACACUGCCCAUAAAAUAUUUUUGCCCCCUGAAAAAAAUAAACCUAAAUUUAAUUGUGUUUCUUGACUUAACUGCCAGUUAACAAGAAAUAUGGGGUAUAUAAACAAUACCACAGGAUACAAUCACAUAAGACCAGGAUGUGGGAAAUUCAACUGGAAAAAUGACAUAUUUUAAAUGGCUUGAAAAAAAGGGGGAAGA